GUCUAUAACCAUAUCACCUUGAAACUGCCUGAUCUCCUCUACUCUUGGAAGCUAAGCAAGGUUGGGCCUGGUUAUUACUUGGAUGGAAGACUGCACCCAAAAAUUCUGACAUGGGGCU
rnacentral:rRNA from 1 species